AUACGGAGGGUGCAAGCGUUGUCCGGAUUUAUUGGGUUUAAAGGGUGCGCAGGCGGUGCGUUAAGUCAGUGGUGAAAUCUUCCGGCUCAACCGGGAAACUGCCAUUGAUACUGGCGCACUUGAGUACGUACGAGGUAGGCGGAAUUUAUGGUGUAGCGGUGAAAUGCAUAGAUACCAUAAAGAACACCGAUAGCGAAGGCAGCUUACCAGACCGUAACUGACGCUCAGGCACGAAAGCGUGGGGAGCAAACAGAAUUAGAAACCCUAGUAGUCC
rnacentral:rRNA from 1 species